GCCUCGUUAGCACAGUAGGCAGCGCGUCAGUCUCAUAAUCUGAAAGUCGUGAGCUCGAUGCUCACACGAGGCA
rnacentral:tRNA from 1 species